AUUGAACGCUGGCGGCAUGCCUUACACAUGCAAGUCGAACGGUAACAGGUCUUCGGAUGCUGACGAGUGGCGAACGGGUGAGUAAUACAUCGGAACGUGCCCGAGAGUGGGGGAUAACGAGGCGAAAGCUUUGCUAAUACCGCAUACGAUCUCAGGAUGAAAGCAGGGGACCGCAAGGCCUUGCGCUCACGGAGCGGCCGAUGGCAGAUUAGGUAGUUGGUGGGAUAAAAGCUUACCAAGCCAACGAUCUGUAGCUGGCCUGAGAGGACGACCAGCCACACUGGGACUGAGACACGGCCCAGACUCCUACGGGAGGCAGCAGUGGGGAAUUUUGGACAAUGGGCGCAAGCCUGAUCCAGCCAUGCCGCGUGCAGGAUGAAGGCCUUCGGGUUGUAAACUGCUUUUGUACGGAACGAAAAGACUCUGGUUAAUACCUGGGGUCCAUGACGGUACCGUAAGAAUAAGCACCGGCUAACUACGUGCCAGCCGCCGCGGUAAAAC
rnacentral:rRNA from 1 species